rnacentral:sRNA from 1 species
CAAACCCACACACGUGUCGACACGAUGACCUGGGUGCCUUCAGCUUUGAAGCUGCUGGUUGGUCGUUGGGAUACGUGGAGGCCUAAC